rnacentral:tRNA from 3 species
GCCGCUAUCGUCUAGUGGUCUAGGACGACAGGUUUUCAUCCUGUAAACCGGAGUUCGAUUCUCCGUAGCGGUACCA